CCUACGGGUGGCAGCAGUGAGGAAUAUUGGUCAAUGGACGAGAGUCUGAACCAGCCAAGUAGCGUGAAGGAUGACUGCCCUAUGCGUUGUAAACUUCUUUUAUAUGGGAAUAAAACGUUCCACGUGUGGGAUUUUGUAUGUACCAUAUGAAUAAGGAUCGGCUAACUCCGUGCCAGCAGCCGCGGUAAGACGGAGGAUCCGAGCGUUAUCCGGAUUUAUUGGGUUUAAUGGGAGCGUAGGUGGAUUGUUAAGUCAGUUGUGAAAGUUUGCGGCUCAACCGUAAAAUUGCAGUUGAAACUGGCAGUCUUGAGUACAGUAGAGGUGGGCGGAAUGCGUGGUGUAGCGGUGAAAUGCUUAGAUAUCACGAAGAACUCCGAUUGCGAAGGCAGUUCACUGGACUGCAACUGACACUGAGGCUCGAAAGUGUGGGUAUCAAACAGGAUUAGAUACCCGUGUAGUC
rnacentral:rRNA from 1 species